UACGGAGGGAGCUAGCGUUGUUCGGAAUUAUUGGGCCUAAAGCAUCCGUAGCCGGUUCUACAAGUCUUCCGUUAAAUCCACCUGCUCAACAGAUGGGCUGCGGAAGAUACUAUGGAGCUAGGAGGCGGGAGAGGCAAGCGGUACUCGAUGGGUAGGGGUAAAAUCCGUUGAUCCAUUGAAGACCACCAGUGGCGAAGGCGGCUUGCCAGAACGCGCUCGACGGUGAGGGAUGAAAGCUGGGGGAGCAAACCGG
rnacentral:rRNA from 1 species